UCUUAACCCAUUCUGCUAGGUUUGCUAUUCUUAUCUAGUUGACAUGUUUCUGUGAUUUCUUUUCUGAUGUCUGAUUCAGACUUCAUAUAAUUGGUGCUUCGUGUAAUCAAUUUGGAAAUUUUAAUCUUAGCACUUUUGAGUAAAACAUUACCUUAAGAGUGAAAACAUGUAAUUAAUUUCUGUACAUUUCUUGUGACAUCUUGGAAAGAUUGCAUCAGGAAAAAUCUAUGGCCGAUCCAUUUGCAUAUGAAGCUUAUAGGAAGAUCAAGAAACGCAUACAAGAAAAGAUUGAGGCUGAGCGUACUAAUCGUAUAAUGGUGUAGGAGGGAGAUCAGCUGACAUUGGGUCAAUUGGCCUCUUGACGCGGAGAUCCCUAGCUCUUCGAGGACACCUAUGAUGAGGCGUCGACUACUUAGGAGGACACAUCUUGAAUAAGGGCACAAUUAUCACACUUGUAAGAGGACUUAUAGGAGGAAGCCCAUGCCUAAGGAGGGAGGAUGUUAGAUCCCUCCUUUAGUUACAUUAUAGUUAUAUUAUUUGAGUGAGAUGGUGUAUUAUGUCUUGAUUUAUAGACUAUUUCAUGGUUAUUGUUAUGAACCCUUUUAUAUCAUGGUUUAGACAUUAUGAGGAUAGGUCGUUACUUCUUAGUACUUUGCUCCUUACUUAUGCUGUUCAUGUGAUCUCAUGGUUUUACAUUAUCAAUGAUGGAUAAUAUUUGACAUGCAUAGUUCUUGUGACGUGAGUUUUUUGA